GAUGAAGAACGCAGCGAAAUGCGAUAAGUAAUGUGAAUUGCAGAAUUCAGUGAAUCAUCGAAUCUUUGAACGCACAUUGCGCCCGCCAGUAUUCUGGCGGGCAUGCCUGUCUGAGCGUCAUUUCAACCCUCAUGCCCCUAGGGCGUGGUGUUGGGGAUCGGCCAAAGCCCGCGAGGGACGGCCGGCCCCUAAAUCUAGUGGCGGACCCGUCGUGGCCUCCUCUGCGAAGUAGUGAUAUUCCGCAUCGGAGAGCGAUGAGCCCCUGCCGUUAAACCCCCAACUUUCCAAGGUUGACCUCAGAUCAGGUAGGAAUACCCGCUGAACUUAAGCGUAUCAAUAAGCGGAGGA
rnacentral:misc_RNA from 1 species